rnacentral:tRNA from 1 species
GGUCUGGUGGCCUAGCCAGGAUAGGGCACUUGCCUCCUAAGCAAGUUGUCGAGGGUUCGAAUCCUUUAAUAUGAGUUAUUAAAGGUCGGAAAUCCCUCCCAGACCGCCA